GGGGACUUGUGCAACUCCGCCUCUGUUACUUUCUGCGUGGUUGAUGUUGUGGCUUCAAGAAGGUCCUCUGAAGUCCUGAGCUCCUCAGAGCUAAUGCAGCGUGGAGCCGAAACCCAUCAGGCAACAAAAGGACUACGGUCUUGGCCCGACCGCGACGCCUGUUCUGGUGCCCGUCUCCGAGUGGGAGGAGAGGCAAAGCUGCGAAAGAAGUGUCGACUUGAUCUGGAUGCUCCGCCUCUCCCGCUACACUUUGGAGGGGCCGGUCACUGACAAGAACAGUGAUAAGAACAACACUCGAGCUGCAAGCACAGUUCUGCUCCGAUGGACGGACGGGGACAGUGGCCCAGCAGAUGGCGCUGUUUUGCUUUUUCCCCCCCAGGUGCAAUCGAGUAAUCCAUUACUAAAGUCGUCAAAUAUCUGGAGAAUCAAUUCAUCAUUUAGAGUCUUUGUGUAUUUAACAUCUGCUUCUAACAGGUUGGGAACAAUGAGCAACAUUUUUGCUAAGGCUAAAAUAUUACCGUAACCACGCCCUCGCCCUCCUACAAAAAAAAAAAAGAGAUGGCCCAAAGUUCACAUCUGCUUGCCAAAACUUCCACUGGUUAGUUGUUUAUUUUUCCAGCCUUAUCAAAAAUUCCGCCUUCAGAAUGAUUUCACAACACGCUGAAUUUAUUAUGGAGUCUGCAGUGCGUCAUCCAGAGAUUCGGCUUGUUGCGAAAUGAAUUCCUCUCCGACAAUGCUGACCAAAAGCGAGCACUAUUAUUUGUUGUGUUGGAGCUCAUGGUUUCAUAUCAAUGCAUCAUAUAUUUAAUAGAAGUUGCACGUUGUUGUUUUUUCCGCCACUUCUAAUUCAAAACACACAUGCACAUUCCCUCGGGGGGAAAAAAAAUCCCGCAUCUGUUCACUCUUUGGGCUUUAAAGAAAUUAGAGAAGAGCACCACUCCACCGGUGAAUGUUGACUUUGUCUCUCGCCUUUUGCCACGAGGAAGCAAACUCUUCUGAUGUCUCUGACAACUCUGAGUCAUUAACAAUGAGCCCAAGCGCUAUAUACGAUAAAUAAAUAAAACGACAACAACUGCUUGACUCAUUUAAAGUUAAUUCUUCUCCGGUUUGUGUGUCCAAACUGUCGAACAAAGCAGGAGCCAUUAAACAUGGCGGCGCGCCAUCAAGUUUAUGUUUAUUGCCGGGAAUAUCUUAAUGUCGUAUUCUCUUUGAAACGUCAACGAGAGGAAAACCAGUUCAAUUCUUAAUCCGCCAUCUUGCGUCUGAAUAU